AAUGCCUACGGGGGGCAGCAGUCGGGAAUAUUGCGCAAUGGAGGAAACUCUGACGCAGUGACGCCGCGUAUAGGAAGAAGGUUUUCGGAUUGUAAACUAUUGUCGAUAGGGAAGAAAAAAGACUGUACCUAUCAAGAAAGCUCCGGCUAACUACGUGCCAGCAGCCGCGGUAAUACGUAGGGGGCAAGCGUUAUCCGGAUUUACUGGGUGUAAAGGGAGCGUAGACGGUAUGGCAAGUCUGAAGUGAAAGCCCAGGGCUUAACCCUGGGACUGCUUUGGAAACUGUUAGACUAGAGUGCUGGAGG
rnacentral:rRNA from 1 species